rnacentral:lncRNA from 1 species
CCCAUCAUUAACUAAGGUUACCCUUUUGGGUAUCUACACAUUAGUCCUACACUUUAUAUGACAAUACAUUGGCCCCCUUAACAUAAUGUCCAUAAGANNNNNNNNNNUUGGCCCCCUUAACAUAAUGUCCAUAAGACCAUAAAAUUAGGCCAAACCAAAAGAUAGCACAUAACAUAUAAUUUAUCCAUAUAUUGUUCAUAUGUAUGUCUAUAUAAGCCCUAUAUCUUACAAUCUCCCACUUGGACGAGAUACACAAACAUAUGUACAAACCUUAGCAUUAUAUGUUACAAAUAACCUUAGGUGCGCAAAAUUGGUAUCACAAUAAAAUUGUCAUGAACAAUCUGGUCCAUCAAUCAUACCAACAUUGGAACUAAGUGCUCGUCGUUACUCAUUCGUAACUAGAACCAAUCAUAGAUCACGUAUAUCAAU